GACCUGAAGAAAAUCAUCGGGUCUGUAGGAAUUGACUGUGAGGCUGAUAAAAUCACAAAAAUCAUUGGUGAAUUGAAAGGAAAGAACCUUGAAGAACUCAUCACUAAAGGUCAAGAAAAGCUGGCAUCUGUCCCAUCCGGUGGACCAGCAGCUGCCGCUGCCCCCGCUGCCGGAGCACCUGCUGCCGCCCCCGCUGAAGCUAAAAAAGAAGAGAAGAAGCCAGAGCCUGAGUCUGAAUCUGAUGACGACAUGGGAUUUGGUCUCUUUGAUUAAACUGAGGCUGUACAUGUUUUGAAAUAAACUGUACAU
rnacentral:misc_RNA from 1 species